AAUCUUGUUCUACUUGCUGGAUAUAUCUGCAAGAAGCUGGAACCCAAGGUUAUGGUUCCUUCUGAAGAGGUGGUUAACACACUGCCUGCGGACCAACAAAGUUCAGGACAGAGAAUACCUAGAGGAGAGGAUCCAGGAUUUUAAAAUGACAGGAGGAGGAAAGAUCCUCUGAGUUUGACUGUAAAAUUUCUGACAGCGCUUGGCUCUUCUGUGCUGCUAUAGGGAGUGCUUCUGAAUUUCAUCUGCAAGGCACUGAGAACAGAGGGUACUCGGGACUUAGCAGAAAUUAUUCUCCCUUUUUAAGGAUCAAGCUCUUGAAGAGCACCCACUGUUAGGCAUAUGACCUCUUCAGAGAAACAUAUUGUACUUAUGUACAACGAGAAGGGGUUUGAAGCACUCUGAUGACUGAAAGGAUAUGCAAGUACAACUGAUAUCCCCUGAUGACAUUUGCUUACUUUAACUGCUUGCACAAGAUUCAGUUAUGUGCAUCAGCAGAGCAGAAAGGAACAGCAUACAUCCUGCAGAGCUGGAAAAUGCCUUCAUUGACUUUUCAGUAUCCACAACUUUGACAUGGAGAGGUGCACAUCCAGUGGCCAGAUGUAACUGCAGUCAGCUGUGGCCACUCCAAGCUGGAAAUGAGUGUCUGAGCAUCCUGAUCACUAAUCCUUCCACUGCAGUGCCUGUGUUCUGGCUGCUCUCUUGGGUGUUUUAUGAGAACGUGGAGCUGCAUGUCACAGUACCAUUUUCUGUGGGUUAAGGGAGACUGUUCUAACACUCCCAGCUUCUGCUGCCCAG
rnacentral:lncRNA from 1 species